CUUGCUAUGAUGAGAUAAAGAACACAGGAGUGUUCUGUAGGCAGUGGACAUGAUCAAAUGGUCUUGCUGUGAGCCUUUCAAAUAAACGACUUCUCCUUCUACUAAGCAUU